GAACCAUACCAUGCCAAACACAAAACGGAACAUAGACAAACCCACCCAACUCACGCCCUGACCAUACUAAAACAAAGACAUAACAAAGGAACUAAGAUCGUUGGCUCAACGGUUGCCUGUCGAGUGUGGGGGAAAGUCUCAGGUGUUGAAAGUCUACGCAAUUAAGUAGGCAGCGCAUGGUAUAAAUACGGAGUCCUCAGACUCAACAGACUUAUCUAGGUUGGGUUGCUGAAGAGCUGUGCGGAUACGCUUUGUAAGAGCUCAUUAAAGAACAGCCACUCUACAGCUCCCAGAUACGGAAAGUAAUUGCGGAUAAUUUUCGGAGAGACUAAUCUAUAGCAGCUGAGGACACUUCCACAGUGGACAGAUGUGUGGCCAGCAAUAUCGGCUGCCAGCAAUAUCGGCUGCCAGCAAUAUCGGCUGCCAGCAAUAUCGGCUGCCAGCAAUAUCGGCUGCCAGCAAUAUCGGCUGCCAGCAAUAUCGGCUGCCAGCAAUAUCGGCUGCCAGCAAUAUCGGCUGCCAGCAAUAUCGGCUGCCAGCAAUAUCGGCAGCCCGCAUCCAAACUGGAGAAAGCCGAUAUUUUAGAGAUGGCAGUGAGUUUCCUAUAGGAGACAACCACUGCGAGUGUUUCACCCAGCUACUCGAGGGUCUCCUGCAGCUGUCCCUUCACGUGUCCCUGCAGGCGGCAGAACGAGGGGAGAUCAAAAGGUUCUAAGUGCUCCAGAGAACACCACCGUCCAAGCAAAGCCCUGCCAAGCGGUCAACCGCGAUCCGAAGGCUCUCUGUAUAGACCGUGGUAAAACUGACAAUGACCACAAGACUGGAGAAAGUAUCUCAACAUUUUGGAUCAGAUUUGCACCUCAGGCUAACAACCAAUGCAUAUUAUCUUUGUGGCAUGAUUAUGUUAUCGCCAGUUGUGCAACAUUUGCGCAUACACUACAUGAGAAAAAGUUUGUGGACAUCUACUUGUUGAAGCAUCAUUCCAAAAUCAUGAACAUUAAUUCCCCCUUUGCUGCAAUAACAGCCUCCAUUAGUGAGGUUGGGCACUAAUGGGCAGUUAGGCCUGGCUUGCGGCGAUGGGGUUGAGGUCAGGGCUCUGUGCAGGCCAGUCAAGUACUUCCACACAGAUCUCGACAGACCACUUCUGUAUGGAUCUCGCUUUGUGCACAAGGGCAUUGUCCUUCUGAAACAGGAAAGGGUCUUCCCCAAACUGUUGCCACGAAGUUGGAAGCACAGAAUUGUCUAAUGUCAUUGUAUGCUGUAGCGUCACUGGAACUAAGGGGCCUAUUCUGAACCAUGAAAAACAUCCCCAGACCAUUAUUCCUCCUUUACCAAACUUUACAGUUGGCACUAUGGAUUUGAGCAGGUAGCUUUUUCCUAGCAUCCACCAAACCCAGAUUUGUCCGUCAGGCUGCCAGAUGGUGAAGCAUGAUUCAUCACUGCUCCAGAGUCCAAUAGCAGCAAGCUUUCUACCACUUCAGCCGAUACUUGGCUUUGCGCAUGGCAAUUUUAAGCCUGUGUUCUUCAGCUCAGCCAUGGAAACCCAUUUGAUGAAGCUCCCUAAGAACAGUUAUUGGCUGAAGUUGCUUCCGGAGGCAGUUUGGAACUUGGUAGCGAGUGUUGCAACUGAGGACAGAUGAUUUUUAUGCACUACGAGCUUCAGCACUUGGCGGUCCCGUUCUGUGAGCUUGUGUGGCCUACCACUUUGCGGCUGAGCCGUUGUUGCUCAUAGACCUUUCCACCUCACAAUAACAGCACUUACAGUUGACCAGGGCAGCUCUAGCAAGGCUUUAAUUUGACAAACUGACUUGUUGGAAAUGUGGCAUCCUAUGAUGGUGCCAUGUUGAAAGUCAUUGAGCUCUUCAGUGUUUGUCAAUGGAGAUUGCGUGGCUGUGUGCUUUUUAAAAUUAAUUUUUAAAUAUAUAUAUUUUAAAAUACACCUUUCAGCAACGAGUGUGGCUGAAAUAGCUGAAUCCAAUAACACUACGUAUUCAAAACUAUAUCUUGUUUUAAUGUACCCAUGAAAUUUUCUACAGUGUAUGAUGAAUACACUUCAAAGCAAUUUUAUUCUUAUAGGGAUUCAGCUUCUCAAAUACUUACAUUUUAUGAAGGCUUUAUACUCUGAUUUGUUGCAUGAUAUUAUUUUUCAUUUCAAGUUCAGCAAUGAUUAUUUUUACAUGUUGUAAUUGAUACCACUUAAACAUUCCUGAUUAUGUUCUUAAUUAUAUUUGUAAUAUCGUGUAGCAUGUCAUUCACUGUUAUCACAGUGACUCAAGUUACACACUGUCAAUGGUGGAAUGACUUUCAACAUAAUUAUGUAGGGAGGCUAACAUUGAUCAACCUGAGCUGGCAAUGGCAUUAGUAGCUUAGUUUAGAAAGACUGCUUCCUGUGUUACAUUGUUCAGUGGUGGGCAAUUCUAGUUUACCACCAUGGACAACUCUAAGAGCACACGAGUAGGUUUCACUCACACAUUCCAAUUUGUUCUUGCAUGAGGAGAUGAGUAACUAGUACAGACUGUGGAAAAAAGUGAAGAACAAGAUAUCAAUCAAUUCAUAACUUUUUUUGUUUAUUCAAAUUGACUCAAUGAGACAUCACCUCAAGGUGAAUAGACACAUGUGAUUAAACAUCACAAUAAGUCUUGGAGAAUUGUCCAAGUUCUUAUUAUACUCCAACAGAGUACAGGAAACACAUUUACUGUCUUUAUGAAAGACAAGAUAAUUGUUUAAAAUAAACAAGAG
ensembl:lncRNA